GAAAUGCGAUAAUUAAUGUGAAUUGCAGAAUUCAGUGAAUCAUCGAGUCUUUGAACGCACAUUGCGGCCCCUGGUAUUCCGGGGGGCAUGCCUGUCCGAGCGUCAUUGCUGCCCUCAAGCACGGCUUGUGUGUUGGGCUUCCGUCCCUGGCAACGGGGACGGGCCCAAAAGGCAGUGGCGGCACCAUGUCUGGUCCUCGAGCGUAUGGGGCUUUGUCACCCGCUCCCGUAGGUCCAGCUGGCAGCUAGCCUCGCAACCAAUCUUUUUAACCAGGUUGACCUCGGAUCAGGUAGGGAUACCCGCUGAACUUAAGC
rnacentral:misc_RNA from 1 species